rnacentral:tRNA from 1 species
GUUUUAGUAGUUGAAUAACAACGGUGAUGUUUCAAGUUGCAGGUUUUGGUGAGAAUCCAGAUUAAAAUA